CGGUGGGCGCAUGGCCCAGCCCAAAGGGUUUUUGUUACAGAUUUUUUAUAGCCAAAACUGGCAUGGGCCCGAGGAGGUGAAGUUAGCAGAUUAGGCCCAUAAUAGAUCUCUUGUUGUUGUUCAUAAGAACAACGGGCCACAUGGGGGGUGCAUAGCAGUGAAAUCAGGCCCAUGGUGAUUGUGAUAUUUUGUUCAGAUUUCAAUUAUUCACCCAAAAAAAGGUGUCAUGGGCUCGAUGGGGGUGCAGUUUCAGAUUAGCGAGCCCAAGAUAAUUGUGUUCAGAUCCAUUAGAUUAUCAUGUUUCUUUUUUUGAUCAAUUAAUCAGACUAAUCUAAUGUCUCAAUUUCAUUUAAACAAAUUAAUUCAAGUUUCAUAUAGUUAUAUUUAAUUAACAAAAAUAUUUCGAUUAAUCAAAUUAAAUAUGUAAAGGGGAAUUUAGGGUUCAGACGUGUGACUAUUCAACUUCCUCUCUCAUCUCUUAUUCUCUCAUGUUCAGAUUCAACUCGCCGGAGCGAUUUCCGGUGGCCUAACCCCGCCGUGGACCGCCAUCUAUGUCCUCUUAAUCAAUAAAACUCAAGCACCAACCCUAUCCUAUUUCUAAUCCUCACCACGAAUCUGGAUUCAGAUUUCCGAAAAUCAACUCCAUGAGGCGGGAUCGAAGAGUUCAACAUGCGAAGAUCUAAGUCUAAAGAAAUCGCAAAUUCAAACUAACAUGGGGCAAUCGUAACUCAGAGAAGACGAGAUGAUCUAUGGUAUACAUGAUUGAAGGAGAUAAAACGCAAACAGAACCUGGUUGGAGAUCGAUAGCGGAAGAACCGAAGGCCAGAGAUGGGAAUCCGGUGAGCACCUGUGCGAGAUAAACGCAGGGAGGCGAUGGAGCUCUUCAGGGCUAAUCAGUUAUGGUGAUAAUUAGGGGUUUCAUUUGGCUUUCUGAACUUUUUCCAAGCGUGAAUACAUAGGCUGCAAGUCUUCAUGAACCCUGUAUGGAAAUAGUAUUGGAUGAAUAUUGGGUUUGUUGGUUCAGCAGGGAUUGUCUCAUUGUUUCAAAUUUGGAAUUGACUUGCGGUUUCGCGAGACUGGUUUGAUUUUGCAGCAAGGAGUUUAGAGACUAGAGCUUGGUGAAAUUCUGUUGGCAUGUGUAUGAUAUGCUGAAUGUGUCUUAUUCUGUACUGGUUUUUUUUUGAAAGGAGCUUUUCAAAGUCUUAUGAAUGCUCCAGCCCCAAUGAGCUUAAUUGUAUUGUCAAGUUGAAGUGCAUAAUGAACAGCAUAGGUAUGAAUGUAGAUGAAGAUGUGGAAACCUUGGAGAAUGAAGGGAUCUUGCAGCUUGUUAUUUUUUCUUUUAAUUUGUAAAUGGAAUUUGUAAUGGGCUUUGUUCAAAUGAAAUGUAAUAAAAUUUGAAUUUCUUCUCUUCU